rnacentral:rRNA from 1 species
CGAAGGGGGCUAGCGUUGCUCGGAAUCACUGGGCGUAAAGCGCACGUAGGCGGCUUCUUAAGUCAGGGGUGAAAUCCUGGAGCUCAACUCCAGAACUGCCUUUGAUACUGAGGAGCUCGAGUCCGGGAGAGGUGAGUGGAACUGCGAGUGUAGAGGUGGAAUUCGUAGAUAUUCGCAAGAACACCAGUGGCGAAGGCGGCUCACUGGCCCGGUACUGACGCUGAGGUGCGAAAGCGUGGGGAGCAAACAGGAUUAGAUACCCUGAUAGUCCACGCCGUAAACGAUGGACGCUAGCCGUUGGUGGGUUUACCCUUCAGUGGCGCAGCUAACGCAUUAAGCAUCCCGCCUGGGGAGUACGGUCGCAAGAUUA